rnacentral:rRNA from 1 species
AUUGAACGCUGGCGGCGUGCUUAACACAUGCAAGUCGUGCGGUAACAGGCGUAGCAAUACGUGCUGACGAGCGGCGAACGGGUGCGUAAUACAUGGGAAUCUGCCCUUUAGUGGGGAAUAACCCGGCGAAAGCCGGGCUAAUGCCGCAUAAGAUCUUCGGAUGAAAGCGGGGGAUCGUAAGACCUCGCGCUGAUGGAUGAGCCCAUGUCGGAUUAGCUAGUGGUGAGGUAACGGCUCACCAAGGCGACGAUCCGUAGCUGGUCUGAGAGGGCGGCCAGCCACACUGGGACUGAGACACGGCCCAGACUCCUACGGGAGGCAGCAGUGGAGGAUAUUGGACAAUGGGGGAAACCCUGAUCCAGCGACGCCGCGUGUGUGAAGAAGGCCUGCGGGUUGUAAAGCACUUUCGGU